rnacentral:tRNA from 1 species
GCGGAUGUAGCCAAGUGGAUUAAGGCAGUGGAUUGUG